GUUUGGUCUCUAUCCUAUGCGGGCGCAGGAGAUUUGAUGGAAGUUGUCCCUAGUACGAGAGGACCGGGAUGAACGAACCUCUGGUGUUCCGGUUGUCACGCCAGUGGCACCGCCGGGUAGCUACGUUCGGACGGGAUAAGCGCUGAAAGCAUCUAAGCGCGAAGCCCCUCUAAAGAUAAGAUCUCCCUGGCUUAGGCCCUCAAGAGUCCUGGAAGACUACCAGGUUGAUAGGCAGGAAGUGUAAGCAUGGUGACAUGUUCAGCUGACCUGUACUAAUUACUCGUGAGGCUUGGUCU
rnacentral:rRNA from 1 species